UACAGAGGGGGCAAGCGUUGUUCGGAAUUACUGGGCGUAAAGGGCGCGUAGGCGGCCUGCUAAGUCGAACGUGAAAUCCCCGGGCUCAACCCGGGAACUGCGUCCGAUACUGGCAGGCUUGAAUCCGGGAGAGGGAUGCGGAAUUCCAGGUGUAGCGGUGAAAUGCGUAGAUAUCUGGAGGAACACCGGUGGCGAAGGCGGCAUCCUGGACCGGCACUGACGCUGAGGCGCGAAAGCGUGGGGAGCAAACAGG
rnacentral:rRNA from 1 species